rnacentral:rRNA from 1 species
UACGAAGGGGGCUAGCGUUGUUCGGAAUUACUGGGCGUAAAGCGUGCGCAGGCGGCUAUCCAAGUCAGUGGUGAAAGCCCGGAGCUCAACUCCGGAAUUGCCAUUGAAACUGUUUAGCUUGAGGACGAGAGAGGUGAGUGGAAUUCCCAGUGUAGAGGUGAAAUUCGUAGAUAUUGGGAAGAACACCGGUGGCGAAGGCGGCUCACUGGCUCGUUUCUGACGCUCAGGCACGACAGCGUGGGGAUCAAACAGG